GGGAGGUAGUGACAAUAAAUAACAAUACAGGGUUCUUUAGGAUCUUGUAAUUGGAAUGAGUACAAUUUAAAUCUCUUAACGAGGAACAAUUGGAGGGCAAGUCUGGUGCCAGCAGCCGCGGUAAUUCCAGCUCCAAUAGCGUAUAUUAAAGUUGUUGCAGUUAAAAAGCUCGUAGUUGAAUUUCGGGAUUGAUGGGUCGGUCAUGCCCUCGGUAUGUACUGAUCCCAUUGGUUCUCACCUUCUAAGGAACCAUGAUGUCAUUCGGUUGAUGUUGUGGGGAAUUAGGACUGUUACCUUGAAAAAAUUAGAGUGUUUAAAGCAGGCCAACGCUUGAAUACAUUAGCAUGGAAUAAUGAAAUAGGACAUCCGAUUCUAUUUUGUUGGUUUCUGGGAUCGAUGUAAUGAUUAAUAGGGAUAGUUGGG
rnacentral:rRNA from 1 species